rnacentral:lncRNA from 1 species
CCUGGCCCACUGCACGCUGGCUGACCUGCCCGCUCGCCCCACGGACAGCUGCUCCCCUCCUUCGCCCGGGACCCAAGGCCCGGCCCUUCGGCCGGAUGGAUGGACGGAUAUUGGCCCCGGCAGAUGGACAGGCGGACGGUCGGUCGGCUGCCGGCCGGCUCCUGGAACCUGGGCCCCUCCAUACUACCCAUUUCCUGGGCCCUCCCGAUCCAGGAAACAAGACGGGCGGGGCGUGGGCCGGCCAGGAGCCCUCAAGACAGUCCCGGGGCGCGGCGCCGCCCAGAGGGGGCAAGAACCCGUGUCCCGAGGUAGAGAGAAAAAGCAACGGAGACAAAGCAAGCCGACCCACCGCUCCAGCCCGAACGUGCACCCACCUCACCUCACUGUCUCGGGGGGCUUCUCCUGGCCUGAGAGGGACCUGGCGGGGAAGGCAUCCAAGCGGAAGCGGAAUCCUGACACCUUGGCUGCAGGAGCUCUCCGGUUUGACGACGAGGCCCCCCGCCCCGUGUCCUGGACUCCUGUGGGGAAGGGUGGCCUUGGAAAGGCCACCUGGCGGGCCUGAUGCCCUCCUGCUGCACGCUGGUCGCUCCGCGUGGGGUUGGCGCAAGGGUGAGGGGGCGGAGGG